rnacentral:rRNA from 1 species
CGCUGGCGGCGUGCCUAACACAUGCAAGUCGAACGGACGAGAUUUCUUCGGAGAUCGAGUUAGUGGCGAACGGGUGAGUAACGCGUGAGCAACCUGCCUUUCAGAGGGGGACAACAGUUGGAAACGACUGCUAAUACCGCAUAACACAUUCGGGGGGCAUCCCCUGAAUGUCAAAGAUUUAUCGCUGAAAGAUGGGCUCGCGUCUGAUUAGAUAGUUGGUGAGGUAACGGCUCACCAAGUCGACGAUCAGUAGCCGGACUGAGAGGUUGAACGGCCACAUUGGGACUGAGGAUACGGCCCAGACUCCUACGGGAGGCAGCCAGUGGGGAAUAUUGGGCAAUGGGGGAAACCCUGACCCAGCAACGCCGCGUGAAGGGAAGAAGGCUUUCCGGGUUGUAAACUUCCUUUUACCAGGGACGAAGACGUGACGGUACCUGGAGAAAAGCCACGGCUAACUACGUG